rnacentral:rRNA from 1 species
GAUGAACGCUAGCGGGAGGCCUAACACAUGCAAGCCGAGCGGUAGAGUUUCUUCGGAAACUUGAGAGCGGCGCACGGGUGCGUAACACGUGUGCAACCUACCUUUAUCUGGGGGAUAGCCUUUCGAAAGGAAGAUUAAUACCCCAUAAUAUAAUGAUUGGCAUCAAUUAUUAUUGAAAACUCCGGUGGAUAGAGAUGGGCACGCGCAAGAUUAGAUAGUUGGUGAGGUAACGGCUCACCAAGUCAAUGAUCUUUAGGGGUCCUGAGAGGGAGAUCCCCCACACUGGUACUGAGACACGGACCAGACUCCUACGGGGGGCAGCAGUGAGGAAUAUUGGACAAUGGGUGAGAGCCUGAUCCAGCCAUCCCGCGUGAAGGAUGACGGUCCUAUGGAUUGUAAACUUCUUUUGUACAGGGAUAAACCUACCCUCGUGAGGGUAGCUGAAGGUACUGUACGAAUAAGCACCGGCUAACUCCGUG